UACCAGCACCCCGAGUGGUCGGGACGAUUAUUGGGCCUAAAGCAUCCGUAGCCGGUUCUACAAGUCUUCCGUUAAAUCCACCUGCUCAACAGAUGGGCUGCGGAAGAUACUAUGGAGCUAGGAGGCGGGAGAGGCAAGCGGUACUCGAUGGGUAGGGUAAAAUCCGUUGAUCCAUUGAAGACCACCAGUGGCGAAGGCGGCUUGCCAGAACGCGCUCGACGGUGAGGGAUGAAAGCUGGGGGAGCAAACCGG
rnacentral:rRNA from 1 species